rnacentral:rRNA from 1 species
UAAAACGUAGGAGGCGAGCGUUAUCCGGAUUCACUGGGCGUAAAGCGCGUGCAGGUGGUUCGGUAAGUUGGGCGUGAAAUCUCCCGGCUCAACUGGGAGAGGUCGUUCAAUACUACCGGACUUGAGAGCAGAAGAGGAAGAUGGAAUUCCCGGUGUAGUGGUGAAAUGCGUAGAUAUCGGGAGGAACACCAGUGGCGAAGGCGAUCUUCUGGUCUGUUUCUGACACUCAGACGCGACAGCUAGGGUAGUAAACGGGAUUAGAGACCCCGGUAAUCCUAGCCGUAAACGAUGUGAACUUGGCGUUGGUGGGUUAAACUCCAUCAGUGCCGAAGCAAACGCGAUAAGUUCACCGCCUGGGGACUACGGCCGCAAGGUUAAAACUCAAAUGAAUUGACGG